UCAAACUUGGUCAUUUAGAGGAAGUAAAAGUCGUAACAAGGUUUCCGUAGGUGAACCUGCGGAAGGAUCAUUACAAAUCCAUCCAUCACGUCUCCUUGUGAGACCACGUUGAAAUGUGCUUGUGUUGUGGGAGGAGAUGAGGGGUGCUGUGGUGUGAUGCGCUGGGAGUUGCUGCUGGUGGCUAGUUAGUGUGUCGCGCUGUGCGCGCUCACUCUUCUACCCCUCACGCUCACGGGCUCACGCUCACUCGCUCGCUCGCCGCCCGCAUACGCGAACUAGUUGAUGAUUGUUGUGCAAGUGUAUUGUUUUCUAAACUCAGUACAACUUAUAACAAUGGAUCUCUAGGCUCUUGCAUCGAUGAAGAACGCAGC
rnacentral:misc_RNA from 1 species